rnacentral:tRNA from 1 species
GCCGGCUUAGCUCAGUUGGUAGAGCAUCUGAUUUGUAAUCAGAGGGUCCGUGUUCAAGUCAUGUAGCCGGCA